rnacentral:rRNA from 1 species
UACGGAGGGGGCGAGCGUUGUCCGAAGUUACUGGGCGUAAAGCGCGCGUAGGCGGGUUGGUAAGUCCGCUGUGAAAGCCCGGAGCUUAACUCCGGAGGGUCGGUGGAUACUGCCAGUCUUGAAGGUGCUAGGGGGAGAUGGAAUUACCGGUGUAGCGGUGAAAUGCGUAGAGAUCCGGAAGAACACCGGUGGCGAAGGCGGUCUGCUGGGGUCGAACUGACGCUGAGGCGCGACAGCGUGGGGAGCAAACAGG